UACGGAGGAUCCGAGCGUUAUCCGGAUUUAUUGGGUUUAAAGGGAGCGUAGGUGGAUUGUUAAGCCAGUUGUGAAAGUUUGCGGCUCAACCGUAAAAUUGCAGUUGAAACUGGCAGUCUUGAGUACAGUAGAGGUGGGCGGAAUUCGUGGUGUAGCGGUGAAAUGCUUAGAUAUCACGUAGAACUCCGAUUGCGAAGGCAGCUCACUGGACUGUUGACUGACACUGAGGCUCGAAAGUGUGGGUAUCAAACAGG
rnacentral:rRNA from 1 species